CCAAAUUAGUUGGGUGCUAGACACUCUAGUCCUGACCCCUCAAGUCCAGUACUAGGAAGUCCAAAUUUACCAAAUUCUGAACGUGUUACUCCUUAGUGAACGAUUUAGUCCAAAACGCUUCUUUUGUAUGACAAAAAUACCCAUUCAUUGUUCGUAGUUCAGUUUCUUCCUUCUUCAUUUCAUGGAAUCAGGGAGGGAAGAGAAAAUUGAGAAAUCUAAUCUCGUUGUGUCAAUGGAAGUUCAAUCUCCAAACCUAAACUCAAUUCAGCUUGAAAAAUCUAAAUCAUCAUCAUCAAUUUAUCUUCUUGAAGAUUAACUCAAAAUUGAGAGGAUAAGUCGACGAGAUUUAGUUUCUGCAGAUUUCAUCAUUGAAGGCGAUUUUGAAAGGUUCUACCGUAUUUGUCUCUCUAAAGUCUAACCUUCAAAAUCAUUUUAGUAAUCUCUCUGCAGAGAAAAAUCAGCUACGAAAAAUUACUUUGAUGCAGAUGGUGAGGACUAUUUCGUGUUACAGUAUGGACUAAAGCCAGUAGAAGUUGCUCAUGGUAAUCGUCAAGAUGUUAAGAUUCUUUUUCCCGUGACAUCUCCUAUUCCAUGAUAUGCGGACUGGAGUGUUGAUGGAGUGAUGGAGCAUGUAAAUUCUGAAAAGUUCAAAAAGAUGUUUCGUGAAGACAACGAGAUUUGUUUUCUCGACUCAAAAUCAACUGGCAGAAUUGUAUCUCGGAGGAAGGAGUACUCGCUGGCUGUACGUUGGUACACCAAGAUACCUUUUCUUUAGCUGAGUGUGUAAAUGAGUUUUGAUUUAGUUGAUAGCUAGCUUAUGAAGGUUGAAAUACGAAAGCAUACGCGUUCCCACACAUUGAUUCAUAAUCGAACCAAUUUGAUUUUUCCGUAAUUGGAGGGAAUAUAAAUUUAUGCUAGUAAUGUACAUGUCUGCCAAAUCGUGAUCUGGGAAUGAAAUAGGGUGCCAGCCUUCAUUGUUCUUUUCAUCUAAAUAGAUAUAUGCAGUCUCGUCAUGUGUUUUUUAUUUCAAAAUCCAUGGUCAAUUUUGAAACAGCGGCUUCUCCAUUCCUUUCAAUUCAUGGUCACUUACUCUCACAUGAAACUUAACUGUACGUCUCAGCUGUUCGUUUAAUGUUUUAAAGUUGUUACAUAGUAACAUUCAAAGCAGAGAACGACACAUGUUGUCUCUCUCUUGUAGAAUUACUAUGAGGAACCACCGGUAAAUACAAUUUUCAUAUUAUUUUCCUGGAUUUUAUUGGGGAAAUUGAUUUAAACAUCUCUGAGUUCUUGGUUUAUUCCAUUCAAGCUGUCUUGGUUUUCUCUUUUCCCAAUGAUGUUGAUUGUUUAAGUGACUUGUUUUACAGGCCACCAAAAUUGAUCCUAGUGAUGCUGAUGUACUAUCCUAGGGUGUACAAUCUGGUGCACAUGUGCACAUGGGAAAAAGAUUGACUUGAUAAGAUUAAGCUGCAUAGAUGCCUAGGUGUACAAACUGGUGCACGCCUAGGUGUACAAAACUAGUACACGUGUAGAAAAACGACUCUGCAAGCUUAUAUUUGUGUUUCCGGUUUGUGUACAUUUUUUUUUUGAAUUGUUAUCGUGCACGUGUUGAUUUUGAUGUUGUUUUUGCUAUCAGAAUUAAUUUGUCGAAACCAUGGCUCAAAGUUGGUUCUGUUGUAGGCGAUAACUCAUUGUGUUUUAAGCCCGGGGACAUGUACGACAAGCAGAUGAUUGAGAAGAAUAAGCAGUUCAACUGUUCUGGCUAGCAUUAAUGCUUGCAAUCUCUUGAAAGCUUGAGAAAGGCUCUUAAGGAGAUCAGUUCCACAUGCGCCAAACAAGAGUCUUUCUCAAGCUUUAGAAUUAUAGUAAUUAUAUCGUUAGUAUGCCAAUAAAUUGCAGAUAAUACGAAAUUGCCUUCGAAUCGAUUAAUCUGAUGGUUUCGGACUGAUUCAUUCAGAGACCUGCCACUGUUUAAGAAAUAAAAUGGAUUUUCAAAGCAAUCGUUUUACACUUGUUUUCCAGGCGAACUUGCCAAAGAAUUGGUGAGCUUCCACGUCUAACCUGAUUUGAAUGUUUUACCGCACUGAUAAAGAGAGUUACUGCAUUUAAUGUAGGAGAAGGUUUAGAAAAUCAUUGCAAGAUAAAUGAGCUGUAUUACCUGAGAAGGGACAUCGCUGAAAUGCUACUGAAGAUAGUAGAGGAGAUAACUGAUGACAUAUUUGCACUCGGACAACCAUAAAUUCCUUAAGUUCAAGAAAGUGAAUUCAUUGGUGUAGAAUAUUCCUAAACUACUGAUGUGCUGUGAAACGGCAGUUGACUGUCACUCGGGAACACCUUAUUUAACAAGUACCCAGGUAGCUGACAGUUGCAUUUCUAUUCUCCAUGUGCUUAUUUGAGUUCUUCAGGGAUGUACGUAGUGGUGUACAGGUGUAAUUCCAAUGAAGAAGUAGGCCAGAGUGUGUAUGAGUGACUGAUUUCAUGCAUGUUUUUUUAGGAAGUUUAUGGAUUUUUUGGGCAUGAGUUUUUUUUCGUAUACAUCAGCUAAAGAUGAGCAACAAUUAAAUAUUUUAAAAACUGAAAAUUAUAUAAUCGUAUGGGUACUCUUUUUGUAGAUUUUGAAAAGAGCUUUCCGAGUAUAUAAAGUUCGUGGAUUUUGGACGAGUAGUGCAAAAGAUAAAUCAUUAUUAAAUAUUUUUUAUAUUAUUUGAAA